CAGACGAUGCGUCAUGCAUAUCAAUAAGCGGAGGAAAAGAAACUAACAAGGAUUCCCCUAGUAACGGCGAGUGAAGCGGGAAGAGCUCAAAUUUGAAAUCUUAAAGGGUUUCCCUUUACGAAUUGUAGUUUAAAGAAGUGUUUUCUGUUGAGGUUUUGGUAAAAGUUCUUUGGAAUAGGACAUCAUAGAGGGUGAGAAUCCCGUAUUUGACCUUUACUUUCAACUUUGUGAUACACUUUCAAAGAGUCGGAUUGUUUGGGAAUGCAGUCCAAAAUGGGUGGUAAAUUUCAUCUAAAGCUAAAUAUUGGCGAGAGACCGAUAGCGAACAAGUACCGUGAGGGAAAGAUGAAAAGAACUUUGAAAAGAGAGUUAAACAGUACGUGAAGUUGUCAAAAGGGAAGCGUUUGACACCAGUGUUGUUUUUCUGAAAAUCAAUUAAAGAACUGUUUAUGCUAAGUUGUUUAGACUUUAUCAGCUAACUGUUUAGUUUUGGGCUUUUCUUUAAUGCACUUUUCAGUUAACAAGUCAACAUCAAUUUCUUUUGCUGUAAAAAAGCUUGAGGAAGGUGGCUUGAGAUUCGUCUUAAGUGUUUAUAGCCUCUUGCCUAUGCAGUCGGAGAGAUUGAGGUCUGCAGCGUAGAUCCUUCGGGGCUAAAUGCAUUUGUGCUAAGUUAUAGCAUUUUAUAGACAACUUGUUGACUAUGAUUUGUCUUGUAGCUUACUCGCUUAUGUUAUUUUACCUACGCUUAGGAUGUUGAAUCUGUGCGAGACUAC
rnacentral:rRNA from 1 species